rnacentral:lncRNA from 1 species
UUUUUAGAGUCUUCACAGACUGUCAGCUGUGUCAAGACCGAUCAGUUUGAAGGCAAAUAGUAGAGAAAGGACUCGAAGAGAUGCCAAGCAAUCGGAAGUAAAAAUGACAGAGGACAAAUGCAGAACGUCAGCAGCAUUAUAGACCUUAACUCGAUUGCUAACCAUCUGAAUUCAAGUCGCACUAGAACCAAUAAUCAGUGCACAACAGUGACAAAACCACAGUGAUUACUAAUCUGCAUUGUAGACUUUAACUCAUUCAUUUGCAAACUAUGAGCAUUGAUCAACUAAUUCUGUUUAUUCCAAAUUUGGAAGAUUGUUAAGUCACAACAGAUGCAGCACCAGAGACAAUAUUCAAUCCACAUCGCCACAGUCUUGACAGUGUUGGAAACACCAAAGGAAGAUAACCUAUCAUCAUCAUCGGAUUCUAUUGAAUGUGCCAAGUUGGGAUACAAGAACCUGUCAAACCACAUCAGACAGUACUAAGACACUAACCAUGGAAAUGAAGAAUGCUUUCUAGUUUGCAUAAAGUAGUUGCUCAGGAAAACACCAUCAUUACACAAGGUAUAUAUAAUAUAUAUUCUUCUGCAAUUUGUAAUGUGAUUUUGUAUACCAUAAACCUCCGAAUAUAAGCUCCCCCGUGUACUGUAUAAGCCCACCACAACACUCGCCUCAUUCCAAAUAUAAGCCACUUCCCCCUUCCCCGAAUAUAAGCCCAUUUGUUUAUCACUAUUAAUCACUAUUAUUACUGUGCUUAACACUUGUUUAUCAUUAUUACUAUACUUGUUUAUCACUAUUACAGUACACUAACACAAAAGAUCGUCCAUGUAUAAGCCCCCGUAUAUAAACCUCUCCCUUGUAUAAUCCCAUCAAAAAUCGCAUAUGAAAGAAUAUAAGCCCGAGGCUUAUAGUCGGAGGUUUACGGUAUGCCUUUGCAGGCUUCACCCACUUGGCUUAUGUAGUUGUAAAGACUGUUCACAUGGGAAUAGAAUAAGAAAGUUAGGAAACUUGAUGCAGACAUAAUGGACUUCAUUAUCUACAUGUUUUUGUCUUGGUUUAUGCAAGAAAUGAUCGGUUCAUCGUCACCUGUGUAUUGUAUUUUUGCUAAAGCAACCAAAAGCUACUGCCAUUUGCGUUCAAGCUUGAAGCGUGCAAAAAUGUUCAGGUUUAUUUACGUUUCAAAUGUAACGUUUCAAAGGAUAUCACGCCCGUUUGGCCGAUAAAAUUGAAUCGUUUGGAAAUAUAAAAAUAUUGAUUGUGGAAGAAUAUACUUUUAUUCUUGUAUUCUCGUGAUUCUACAGUAAAUACUAUACAAUCAAUUAUUUACAUUUUGUAGCUGAAUUAAUGUAAUGUUUACAACAUGAGCGGCCGUGUUGUAUCGGAUAUACAAACUCGAGCCGAUUAGGCGAGAGUUUGUAUAUCCGAUUUACACGGACGCGAAUGUUGUAAACAACUUUAAAAACUGCUCAUCUUAUGAGUUCAUUGGCAAAGUAAUUUUAAAAAUAAACGUUGUCUAAGCCGAGAAAAUCAAAGUUAAAGUUUAUGUAAAUCAACAUGAAUCUGUAUCACAUAUACAGAUACGACACGCUUAUGAUUUUUCUUUGUGUUUUCUUCAUGAAUUAUUAACGAGUUUUUUAAUAGGGAUUUACAGCACAAAAAUGUACAAACGUCAUUGGAAUUCAAACAAAACAUGACAUAUUAUGUAACGAAUAAUAACCGUUGCAUGGUUCAAACGACCGGUUUUGUUGGUCAAAAGGGUGUGAUUACCCCCUGGAACAUUGCGUUUAAAACAUAAACAAACGUGAAAAAAUUUGCACGCUUCAAGCUUGAACGCAAAUGGAAGUAGUUAUGUUUUCAUUGUUUUCAACCAUUGUGUAAUAUCACAACUGCAUGGGUAAUUAAACCAAUUAAUAAUGCUAUUAUUGGUUGGUCGGGCAAGAAAACAUGACCAGCUAAACAGAGAGUUAUGAAGUGGAGAGUUACUGUAUCUCGGAGAGUUAUGUUCAAACCACACCCACUUUUCCCAAUGACCACACCCAAUUUCUUAACUCUCCCCGUCUCCCGACGUUUCCUUGAACUAACAUGAGGGAGUUAUGUUUUACACAACUCUCUCUCUCUCGUUAACAUUAUGAAAAUGUUAGAGAGUUGUCAUUUUUAUAACUCUCCGCGUUCAUGAUUGCAUCAUGUGGCAAUGAAGAGAGUUAAGUCUUGAUGACUUGAAGUGUAUGCAGCGGACAAAGUAACAUAUGACUAUAUAUGGCUUAAUAAGUUAGUUCCGAUUCCGGCCAGAACUUUUUUCCAGUUCCGGUCGGAUCCGGUUCCAGCCGGAACUUAAAAAACUGGUUCUGGUGCACCCCUAAGAAUAUUUAUAUUAAUUUGCAGGCAAAUACAAGACUAUCGGUACUGCAUAUAAUGAAAAUAAGUAUUUUAUCACUAUGAUAAUUCUCGGUUGAAGCCAUGUAAUUAAAUACUUCUUAUUACCUCCAAUUUAGAUUCUCGCUGGUCAUGACAACUACUGGUUGUAUCCGAAAGAAAGUGGGGCCAUGGAUGCUGGUCGAGUUCUAAACAGGGACCAUCAUGAGGACGUCCAAAUGCACAAAACUAAUUUCGUAUGUGGCAUCUUUAAUAUAAUUUCACUUUAUUUUUGAGAAGAAAUUUCACCAAAAUUUUAACAGUGAAGCUUAGUGGUGGCUGUGGAUACUUUUGGUAUAUUAUGUACUUUAAUGGAUUAUAAUAAACAUUUAUGGAUUACUAAGGAUAUUUAUUACCAUGAACAUGUCCGGACAUAUGUACCUCUAUAUCAACGGUUACCCACAGACAUCGAUG